CCUACGGGAGGCAGCAGUGAGGAAUAUUGGUCAAUGGUCGGGAGACUGAACCAGCCAAGCCGCGUGAGGGAUGAAGGUACAGAGUAUCGUAAACCUCUUUUGUCAGGGAACAAAGGCGGGGACGUGUCCCCGGAUGAGUGUACCUGAAGAAAAAGCAUCGGCUAACUCCGUGCCAGCAGCCGCGGUAAUACGGAGGAUGCGAGCGUUAUCCGGAUUUAUUGGGUUUAAAGGGGGCGCAGGCGGUCUGUUAAGUCAGCGGUAAAAGCCCGGGGCACAACCCCGGCCCGCCGUUGAAACUGGCAGUCUCGAGUUGGAGAGAAGUAUGCGGAAUGCGCGGUGUAGCGGUGAAAUGCAUAGAUAUCGCGCAGAACUCCGAUUGCGAAGGCAGCAUGCCGGCUCCACACUGACGCUGAGGCACGAAAGCGUGGGUAUCGAACAGGAUUAGAUACCCCUGUAGUC
rnacentral:rRNA from 1 species